rnacentral:misc_RNA from 1 species
GAUGAAGAACGCAGCGAAAUGCGAUAAGUAAUGUGAAUUGCAGAAUUCAGUGAAUCAUCGAAUCUUUGAACGCACAUUGCGCCCGCCAGCAUUCUGGCGGGCAUGCCUGUUCGAGCGUCAUUUCAACCCUCAAGCUCUGCUUGGUGUUGGGGCCCUACGGUUGACGUAGGCCCUUAAAGGUAGUGGCGGACCCUCUCGGAGCCUCCUUUGCGUAGUAACUAACGUCUCGCACUGGGAUUCGGAGGGACUCUUGCCGUAAAACCCCCAAAUUUUUAAAGGUUGACCUCGGAUCAGGUAGGAAUACCCGGUGAACUUAAGCAUAUCAAUAAGCGGAGGA